rnacentral:rRNA from 1 species
UACGAAGGGGGCUAGCGUUGUUCGGAAUUACUGGGCGUAAAGCGCACGUAGGCGGAUUUGUAAGUCAGGGGUGAAAUCCCCGGGCUUAACCUGGGAACUGCGUUUGAAACUACAAGGCUAGAGUGUGACAGAGGGGGUGGAAGUUCCACGUGUAGCAGUGAAAUGCGUAGAUAUUCGCAAGAACACCAGUGGCGAAGGCGGCUCACUGGCCCGACUACUGACGCUGAGGCACGAAAGCGUGGGGAGCAAACAGG